rnacentral:rRNA from 1 species
UACGUAGGCAGCGAGCGUUGUUCGGAGUUACUGGGCGUAAAGGGUGUGUAGGCGGUUGUUUAAGUUUGGUGUGAAAUCUCCCGGCUCAACUGGGAGGUGCGCCGAAUACUGAAUGACUUGGAGUGCGGGAGAGGAAAGUGGAAUUCCUGGUGUAGCGGUGAAAUGCGUAGAUAUCAGGAGGAACACCAGUGGCGAAGGCGGCUUUUUGGUCUGUAACUGACGCUGAGGCGCGAAAGCGUGGGGAGCAAACAGG